rnacentral:rRNA from 1 species
CAAAUGACUCUCGGCAAUGGAUAUCUCGGCUCUUGCAUCGAUGAAGAACGUAGUGAAAUGCGAUACUUGGUGUGAAUUGCAGAAUCUCGUGAACCAUUGAGUCUUUGAACGCAAGUUGUGCCCGAGGCCUUCGGGCCAAGGGCACGCCUGCUUGGGCGUCAUGG